GACGAACGCUGGCGGCGUGCUUAACACAUGCAAGUCGAACGGAAAGGCCCUGCUUGCAGGGUACUCGAGUGGCGAACGGGUGAGUAACACGUGGGUGAUCUGCCCUGCACUUCGGGAUAAGCCUGGGAAACUGGGUCUAAUACCGGAUAGGAGCCAUUUUUAGUGUGGUGGUUGGAAAGUUUUUUUCGGUGUAGGAUGAGCUCGCGGCCUAUCAGCUUGUUGGUGGGGUAAUGGCCUACCAAGGCGGCGACGGGUAGCCGGCCUGAGAGGGUGGACGGCCACAUUGGGACUGAGAUACGGCCCAGACUCCUACGGGAGGCAGCAGUGGGGAAUAUUGCACAAUGGGCGCAAGCCUGAUGCAGCGACGCCGCGUGGGGGAUGACGGCCUUCGGGUUGUAAACUCCUUUCGCUAGGGACGAAGCUUUUUGUGACGGUACCUAGAUAAGAAGCACCGGCUAACUACGU
rnacentral:rRNA from 1 species